rnacentral:rRNA from 1 species
GGGGAAAGCUCAGCAAAGAAAUCGAGGACUCCGGCCUUGAGUUGUGGACUUGAGAGGUAUCGCCAAUGGUGGCACAGGUGGGGGCCUCUUGGAAAAGGGCACCACAGAGGGUGUGAGUCCUGUUUGCCAUCUGUAGUCCGCUGUGUACGGCAUGCCUCCUCCGAGUCACGUUCCUUGGAAUUGGAGCGCGAAGGUGGUGGUGGCUUUCAUCUCAAGCUAAGUAUGGGUUCGAGACCGAUAGCAAACAAGUACCAUGAGGGAAAAUUGAAAAGAGCUUUGGAAAGAGAGUUAAAAGUGCCCGAACUUGCUGAUAGGGAAGCGAAGGGAGCUGACGUUGCUUGGUAACAUCUUCCGCGCAGGACUAGGAUGGGUUCUGAUUGCAAUGUGUGUUGUGUUUCUUGCCAUGCGUGUCAAUGCCAAGUAAUGAGUGGGGAGAGCUCCAGGGAUAAUGAUUGUUUCUGUCCCCGGGUAGACGAAUAUGUCUGGGUGCAUCCAUUUGUGGGCUGAAA